rnacentral:rRNA from 1 species
AUUGAACGCUGGCGGCAUGCCUUACACAUGCAAGUCGAACGGUAACAGGUCUUUGGAUGCUGACGAGUGGCGAACGGGUGAGUAAUGCAUCGGAACGUGCCCAGUCGUGGGGGAUAACGCAGCGAAAGCUGCGCUAAUACCGCAUACGAUCUAUGGAUGAAAGCGGGGGACCGUAAGGCCUCGCGCGAUUGGAGCGGCCGAUGUCAGAUUAGGUAGUUGGUGGGGUAAAGGCUCACCAAGCCAACGAUCUGUAGCUGGUCUGAGAGGACGACCAGCCACACUGGGACUGAGACACGGCCCAGACUCCUACGGGAGGCAGCAGUGGGGAAUUUUGGACAAUGGGCGCAAGCCUGAUCCAGCAAUGCCGCGUGCAGGAAGAAGGCCUUCGGGUUGUAAACUGCUUUUGUACGGAACGAAACGGCUCUGGUUAAUACCUGGGGCUAAUGACGGUACCGUAAGAAUAAGCACCGGCUAACUACGUGCCAGCCGCCGCGGUAAGAC